GGGGGGGUACACUUGCAAGUCGAACGGAGAUGUUGCAGCAGAAGCGAAUAGCUUGCUAUGAGUGGAAACAGUGGCAUCUUAGUGGCGGACGGGUGAGUAACGCGUGGGCAACCUGCCCUGCACUGGGGGAUAACACUUAGAAAUAGGUGCUAAUACCGCAUAAUAAAAUAUAUUGCAUGAUAUAUUUUUGAAAGCUGCGGCGGUGCAGGAUGGGCCCGCGUCUGAUUAGCCAGUUGGCGGGGUAACGGCCCACCAAAGCGACGAUCAGUAGCCGGCCUGAGAGGGUGGACGGCCACAUUGGGACUGAGACACGGCCCAAACUCCUACGGGAGGCAGCAGUGGGGGAUAUUGGACAAUGGGGGGAACCCUGAUCCAGCGACGCCGCGUGAGUGAAGAAGUAUUUCGGUAUGUAAAGCUCUAUCAGCAGGGAAGAAAAGAAUGACGGUACCUGAAUAAGAAGCCCCGGCUAACUACGUGCCAGCAGCCGCGGUAAUACGUAGGGGGCAAGCGUUAUCCGGAUUUACUGGGUGUAAAGGGAGCGCAGACGGCAAUGCAAGCCUGGAGUGAAAGGCGGGGGCCCAACCCCCGGACUGCUCUGGGAACUGUAUAGCUAGAGUGCAGGAGAGGCAAGUGGAAUUCCUAGUGUAGCGGUGAAAUGCGUAGAUAUUAGGAGGAACACCAGUGGCGAAGGCGGCUUGCUGGACUGUAACUGACGUUGAGGCUCGAAAGCGUGGGGAGCAAACAGGAUUAGAUACCCUGGUAGUCCACGCCGUAAACGAUGAUUACUAGGUGUCGGAGGG
rnacentral:rRNA from 1 species